rnacentral:lncRNA from 1 species
CACAAAUAGACACGAUCCUAAAAACGACUACCGACUCGACCUACCGAUGCUACUCUCAAUCGACCAACCGAACAUCCCUCAUCGAAUCAAGAUUGGUAAGCGGCCGAUGUUCGAACUCUACAAACAAUAGACUACUUCGACCGUCGGUAUUUCAGAGUUACUAACCGACGGCCGACCCCCCGACGUAUAGUCGGCCGACUCAUUCAAAUAUACCAUAACCAUCAC